rnacentral:rRNA from 1 species
UGGGGAAUAUUGGACAAUGGGCGAAAGCCUGAUCCAGCCAUGCCGCGUGUGUGAAGAAGGUCUUCGGAUUGUAAAGCACUUUAAGUUGGGAGGAAGGGCAGUAAGUUAAUACCUUGCUGUUUUGACGUUACCGACAGAAUAAGCACCGGCUAACUCUGUGCCAGCAGCCGCGGUAAUACAGAGGGUGCAAGCGUUAAUCGGAAUUACUGGGCGUAAAGCGCGCGUAGGUGGUUUGUUAAGUUGGAUGUGAAAGCCCCGGGCUCAACCUGGGAACUGCAUUCAAAACUGACAAGCUAGAGUAUGGUAGAGGGUGGUGGAAUUUCCUGUGUAGCGGUGAAAUGCGUAGAUAUAGGAAGGAACACCAGUGGCGAAGGCGACCACCUGGACUGAUACUGACACUGAGGUGCGAAAGCGUGGGGAGCAAACA